AUGCUUGAGUCCAUCGGACAAUUUGGCAAGGACUUGAGAGGGCCUAGUCCAUAUCAGAUGAGUGGACCAUUUUUGCAGAAGAGGAAACAAAAGGUGCUGGAUGGAUUCAAGAAUCAUAAGGAAUCAUGGGAGCUCACAGGUUGCACGGUUAUGACUGAUGCAUGGACAGAUAAGAAGGGCAGGGGAGUUAUGAAUUUAGUUGUGCACAGUGCUCAUGGUGUUUGCUUCAUUGAUUCGGUGGACUGCUCCGGUGACAGAAAAGAUGGCAAAUACAUAUUUGACUUGGUGGACAAAUGCAUAGAAGAAAUAGGUGAAGAAAAUGUUGUGCAAGUGGUGACUGAUAAUGCUAGUGUGAAUGUAUCAGCAGCUAGUAUGCUAACAGCAAAGAGACCAUCCAUAUUUUGGAAUGGAUGUGCUGCUCACUGCCUAGAUCUCAUGCUGGAGGAUCUUGGGAAGCUUGGACCAGUUGCAAAAACUAUUUCAAGUGCAAGAGAAGUGACUAGCUUCUUGUAUGCUCAUACAAGGGUAUUGGAUUUGAUGAGGAAAUUUCUUGGGAAGGACUUGGUUCGCUCUGGUGUUACUCGGUUUGCCACUGCUUACUUAAAUCUUAAAAGUUUGCUAGACAACAAGAAGGAGUUGAUAAGGCUCUUCAGAUCAGAUGAGAUGAAUGAACUAGGUUCAUACUUGACAAAGGCAAAGGGGAAAAAAGCACUCAAAGUGGUGCGAUCUGAAGUUUUUUGGAAACAUGUUGACAUGGCUGUUAAUUUCUUCGAGCCAAUGGCUAAUGUGCUUCGCAGAAUGGAUAGUGAUGUUCCUGCAAUGGGAUUCUUCCAUGGAUUAAUGCUUGAUGCAAAGAAACAUAUUGCUGUGAGGUUUGAUAAUGAUGAGAGCAAGUACAAAGUUGCUUGGGACAUCAUUGAUAAAAGGUGGGACAGCAAGCUCAAGACUCCUCUCCACUUGGCUGGCUACUAUUUGAAUCCUCACUAUUAUUACCCAAACAAGUCAGAGAUUGAGCAUGAUGGAUCAUUUAGACUUGCUGUUAUUACAUGCAUUUGCAAGAUGAUUGAGGACGAAGAAACCCAAGACACUGUAAUUGAAGAACUCAACAUGUAUCAAGACCAGCAAGGAUCUUUCGGCCAUGAGAUUGCUAUAAGGCAAAGGAGAAACAAGAAUUUUAAUCCAGCAAAAUGGUGGCUGAACCAUGGCACCAGCACACCAAAGUUGAGAACUUUGGCAUCUAGGAUUCUUAAUUUGACAUGUAGCUCAUCAGUUCAUACAAAGAAGCGGAAUAGGCUGCUGCAUGACAUGAUGAGGGAUCUUGUGUUUGUGAAAUUCAACUCUAAACUAAGGAACAAGAGAGAGAACAAAAACAGAGAUCCCAUAGAGAAAGAAGUAGAUGAUGUUCUUGCUGAUUAUGAAAAUGAGUUCAUCACUAGGAAAGAACCAACUGCAGAAGUUGAUGAAGAACAAGAGAAAGCUCAUGAAGAUGCAUCGGAAGAGGAACCAAACAGGGCAUCAUCAUCAUAG
rnacentral:rRNA from 1 species